AUCUCCACGUUGUUUACGUACCCAAUCAACAUUGUGUGCCAAGUUACGAUGUUCCUCUCCGGCAUUUCACCGAACGCUCUCUCACCAUCCUCCACAAAACCUAACUUCAUGUAACCCAUAAUCAACACAUUCCAAGACACCACAUCCUUGACCAAAAUCUCCUCAAAGACUCUCUCUAAACCUCUUGGAUCCCUUAAACUCGUGUAGCCUCUCAACAAAGCGGAGCCGGUGUAAACGCUUGAGGAUCUCCGCAUAUCUAAAAAAAGCCUGAGAACGCUCUCUGUAUUAUCUCUGGUUUUCUUCAGACCCAUGGGCAUGGUGUUCCAUGACACCACGUCUCUCACAGGCAUUUGAUCGAACACCUGGCGAGCUUCCGACAUCAGACAUGUUGAAAUGUCUAGCGAUGAUGUCUGGUUCUGAUUAAAAAGCCUGCGUGCUUCCACCAAACCAUCGUUCUUGUUGUCAACAUUUCGAAAGAUUAAAGAGGAGCAGUGUUGAAGCGACUUUGGAAGCUUUCUGCUGAGUAGAUUGUAGCCAACGUCAAGCGUCCGGAGAAGCGAGGCACUAACACAGAACAUGUCUCCUUCCAAGUCGUUCUUCCGGAAAUUCACAAAAAAAAAAA